AGCGACGAAAUCGGACGCCAACGCGCCAACCCGCCAACUGCGAAGCUCUUGUUCGGCUGCGUGCUUCAACGCAACUCGGCUGUUAAGUGUGUAAACUCUGGCUUGUUUUCCUCGCCUCGAGAAAUUCCGUUUGCACUGGAGGCCUGGCUUUAGCAUCCGUCACGGACUUUAUGGAGAGGUGGAGACAUACAUGAAUAAUGGCGUGUUCAACGGUGCCACAGGACAUCACCGGCGAUCUGAGAGGGCACUGCAAGGAGUGCGAAUGCAGUGGUUUUCAGUGCCUUGUUGAUCUGGCCAUGACAAGGUACCUAUUGGCUGGUGCAUUCUCUGUGGACACUCGCCUGCCUCAUAUGGACCUCUCGUCAGCCUCUAUGAGGGUGCCCAAGACGGAUAUCUGGAGGAAGCUGAAUCUUGCAGUGCACCACAACAGUCUUUGGCUAGGCAAAUAUGUGGCCAGUGGUCAACAGACACCACCACUUACCCAGAAAGAGGGCCUGCGCAAUCUGUCGAAAAUUAUUCUUUGACAGUGCACCAGACAAUGAAGUUCGGCACCCAGGAAGUGCUUCCGCCCCUGUACUGACGCAAGGGGCCGAAGAAAGUUUUCGUUCAAGCACCUCGACCCAGCUACAUCAUAAGUGUGUACACUGCGACUUCUCAUCUUAUUAUUUUAGUCGUUUUCCAUCUCACAUGAAACUUGCUCAUCGUUCUGUUAAAAAGUACACCUGUGCCCUUUGUAAGGUCACUUUUGCAGCUGUUACCCGUUAUAAACAGCAUUUUGAUGAAUUUCACAUCUUGAUCGUGGCCAGUGAAGAGCAGCAUUUGCUGAGUAGCGACAGUGAAAUGGUCCACCAGGACAUGAGCAUUGAAACUGAGGUCUCAUAAUUUGAGCCGUGUGUGCUCAAUGAUGAGGCAAGGCUCUCCGAUCUGUUCAGGCUUUUGGAGGGUGAGCACAUACGUGCAAAAAAGCUAUCAGUGCUGUUGUCAAAAACAUUUCAGAAUUGUUCCGCGCCAAGGGUCUUCAGCUAGACGCAUCAGGUUUGUUAACUGACAAGGCGGGAAAACGUCAGUAUGAACGUAAUAACAUAUAUGUUAGACCUUCCAAAAAAGCACUUCCCAAUGGUUCCCAUGGUUAUUAUGUAUCACUAAAGGCACUCUUAAAAACCUUGUACCAACAUCCAGAAACAAGUAGCCAUCUUCAGGAAAAGUUUGUUAUCUCUGAAGAUGGUUUCCUCAGGCACCUGUGUGGUGGUUUGAGGUUCAGGCGCCAUGCUAUGCUGAAUAAUCAGGACAGUGGCCUUGGCGUGCUUCUAUACUGCGAGGAUGUAGAAAUUGCCAACCCUUUGGACAUGAAGCGAGGCAUGUGUGGAAAGCGCACACUGUUUUAUGUAAUAUUUGCCAACUUUCCUCCCCCAAGCAGGUCUCAGCUGAACUGAUAUUAAUUUAGAUUUCAUUCACUCAGUGAAUGAACUGUCAAACAAAGGAAUCUCAUUCAAAGUUCGGGAAAGAGAAAUCAAGACCUAUGGCUGUCUCCUUGCAUUUCUCUGUGAUAGUUUAGCAGCACAUAAUACUGCUGGCUUCAAGGAAUCAUUUUCGCCAACUGUUCGUUAUGCGUGCCGCCGCUGCAAUGCACUCACGAGUGAUUUCCCUAAGAUUUGUUUACACUCUGACUGCCGUUUGAGAAGUGACAGUGAAAUUCAAGAUAAAGUUAAAUUGUUGAAGAAAGCAAAGAACUUGGCUGAGCAGAAGAAAAUAUCGGCAGCUUCAGGCAUCAAGGAACCCUCAGUGCUUCACCUCGUAACAGGGUUCUCAUUGACUGAGGAUGCACUCUUUGACCCUAUGCAUAUAUUUUAAGAAGGUGUGCUACCUAAAGAACUUUUCUUGUUUCUCCGUCACCAAGUACACAUCCGUCGGGUAUUUAGUAGAAAACAACUGAAUGAAGCAUUCAGGAAGUUCAAUUUUCAUUCAUCUAUAAAUUCAGGAGAGCGCUCACGUUUGUUCGAUGCUUCGCUGUCGUUGGUGUCUUCAGCAAGUGCAUUGGGAGUUUUCGUUCUACACCUCACACUUAUUCUGAAUAGCGUUGUUCCUUUCAACCUGCUGGAUAAAUUCUACCAUUGUCUGAUAAUGGCUGUCCAGAUAACACAGCUUGUACUUUCUCCAAUUUUGAGUAUCGAGGCCGUAGGUUUUUUUUUCUUUGCAACAUAAUGGUUGUUAAUUCGGUGUUAUGAUGAAUGUUUAAACUGUUUUAUUUUAAAGGAAACGAGCCAGUAAAGCGUAGUAACAGAAGAAAUAUUUUUGCUGGCUUGCCCUCUGUACACUUACAAAUGCGACCGUGGUUUCUACUGCCUGUGUAAAUAUUAUAGACAACUUCCAUAAGUGUGUACUGUAUUUGCUAUUUGAAUGUUGUAUGUCUGCUUUUAAUGCACAGGGACAACUUUUUUUUAAGAUAUGAAGGUCAAAUGAAUGAUCUGGUAUAAUGGUAUCACUCAGCAGUUUUUUCAUUGACUACACAUUGUAUUACUGGCAUGUAGCCUUCAGUCUUAUUUCUUAGUCGUUUUUAGCUGUGAAGUAUGUCUGUUGCUUGUUCAGUAAUUUGCUUUGAUGCUCUUGUUCUUGCAUUACUGUGGUUUUGAUACAAUUGUGUAAAAUGGCUUUCAUAUAAUAAAGUAUCAAGU
rnacentral:lncRNA from 1 species